rnacentral:rRNA from 1 species
UACGAAGGGGGCUAGCGUUGCUCGGAAUCACUGGGCGUAAAGGGUGCGUAGGCGGGUCUUUAAGUCAGGUGUGAAAUCCUGGAGCUCAACUCCAGAACUGCCUUUGAUACUGAGGAUCUUGAGUUCGGGAGAGGUGAGUGGAACUGCGAGUGUAGAGGUGAAAUUCGUAGAUAUUCGCAAGAACACCAGUGGCGAAGGCGGCUCACUGGCCCGAUACUGACGCUGAGGCACGAAAGCGUGGGGAGCAAACAGG